rnacentral:tRNA from 1 species
GGAGGAGUGCGGCGAAUUGGUAAGCCAGCACCCUGCUAAGGUGUAACCCUUCGGGGUUUGUGGGUUCGAGUCCCACCUCCUCCGCCA